UCAGUCGACUCCUACGGGGAGGCAGCAGUGGGGGAAUAUUGCACAAUGGGCGCAAGCCUGAUGCAGCCAUGCCGCGUGUAUGAAGAAGGACCUUCGGGUUGUAAAGUACUUUCAGCAGUGAGGAAGGCAGGUACGUUAAUAGCGUGCUUGUUUGACGUUAGCUGCAGAAGAAGCACCGGCUAACUCCGUGCCAGCAGCCGCGGUAAUACGGAGGGUGCGAGCGUUAAUCGGAAUUACUGGGCGUAAAGCGCAUGCAGGUGGUUUGUUAAGUCAGAUGUGAAAGCCCGGGGCUCAACCUCGGAAUUGCAUUUGAAACUAGGCAGACUAGAGUACUGUAGAGGGGGGUAGGAAUUUCAGGUGUAGCGGUGAAAUGCGUAGAGAUCUGAAGGAAUACCGGUGGCGAAGGCGGCCCCCUGGACAGAUACUGACACUCAGAUGCGAAAGCGUGGGGAGCAAACAGGAUUAGAUACCCUGGUAG
rnacentral:rRNA from 1 species